rnacentral:rRNA from 1 species
AACGAACGCUGGCGGCAUGCCUAACACAUGCAAGUCGAACGGUAACAGGCCCUUCGGGGUGCUGACGAGUGGCGGAUGGGUGAGUAAUACUUAGGAAUCUACCCUGUAGUGGGGGACAACCCGGGGAAACUCGGGCUAAUACCGCAUACGCUCUACGGAGGAAAGCGGGGGACCGCAAGGCCUCGCGCUAUUGGAUGAGCCUAAGCCCGAUUAGCUAGUUGGUGGGGUAAUAGCCUACCAAGGCAAUGAUCGGUAGCUGGUCUGAGAGGACGACCAGCCACACUGGGACUGAGACACGGCCCAGACUCCUACGGGAGGCAGCAGUGGGGAAUAUUGGACAAUGGGCGAAAGCCUGAUCCAGCGAUGCCGCGUGUGUGAAGAAGG